AGUGAACGCUGGCGGUAGGCCUAACACAUGCAAGUCGAACGGCAGCACAGUAAGAGCUUGCUCUUACGGGUGGCGAGUGGCGGACGGGUGAGGAAUACAUCGGAAUCUACUUUUUCGUGGGGGAUAACGUAGGGAAACUUACGCUAAUACCGCAUACGACCUACGGGUGAAAGCAGGGGAUCUUCGGACCUUGCGCGAUUGAAUGAGCCGAUGUGGGAUUAGCUAGUUGGCGGGGUAAAGGCCCACCAAGGCGACGAUCCGUAGCUGGUCUGAGAGGAUGAUCAGCCACACUGGAACUGAGACACGGUCAAGACUCCUACGGGAGGCAGCAGUGGGGAAUAUUGGACAAUGGGCGCAAGCAUGAUCCAGCCAUACCGCGUGGGUGAAGAAGGCCUUCGGGUUGUAAAGCCCUUUUGUUGGGAAAGAAAAGCAGCAGGUUAAUACCCCGCUGUUCUGACGGUACCCAAAGAAUAAGCACCGGCUAACUUCGUG
rnacentral:rRNA from 1 species